AAGGGGGGAAUGCUGUAAUGAAUAAAUGGUGCCUCUGGGCACUCUUAUUAGAGUUCCAGAGGACAACCUGAAGAAUCCAUAAGAAUAGUGUAAAAUGUAAAGCCACAGUCCUGCAAUCCCAUGAAGAUCAAAGCCAGUUUGCUAUUCUGCAUUAACAUUUCUGUGAUCAGAUAUAACGUGAGCACCUCGAUUCUAUCUGUGUCAAGAUAUCUUCACACAAGUGACUCAUCUGGUAAAAGCUCGGGCACUGAACACUGCUCUGACAACCAUCUCCUUUGAGGUUGAUUCCACGUUGGUGGUGUUACAAGCCAACGUCCUGUUUAGCUGCUUUCCUCUGCAACACAACACUGUAAUUAAAACUGACUAAACAAUAAAUCUCAAUUUCCCUGUUC